GAAAUGCGAUAAGUAAUGUGAAUUGCAGAAUUCAGUGAAUCAUCGAAUCUUUGAACGCACAUUGCGCCCGCCAGUACUCUGGCGGGCAUGCCUGUCCGAGCGUCAUUUCAACCCUCGAGGCCCCCCCGGGGGGCUCGGCGUUGGGGGCCGGCCCCGGCCGCCCCCGAAAUGCAGUGGCGAUCCCGCCGCGGCCUCCCCUGCGUAGUAGCAAAAACCUCGCACCGGGGCGCGGAGAGGGUCACGCCGUGAAACACCCCGACUCCUUCAGAGUUGACCUCGGAUCAGGUAGGAAUACCCGCUGAACUUAA
rnacentral:misc_RNA from 1 species